AUACUUACCUGGCAGGGGAAAUACUAUGAUCAUGAAGGUAGUUUUUCCCAGGGUGAGGCUUAGCUAUUGCACUCUGGCUUCGCUGACCCCUGCGAUUUCCUCAAAUGUGGGAAACUCGACUGCAUAAUUUUUGGUAGUGGGGGACUGCGUUCGCGCUCUCCCCCG